GUUUUGCAUUGUUAAUUCUGCGAUCAUUUAUGAGGAUAUGAAUCUGUAGUUUCUUUGGAUUUAUGGAGGGGAAUCUGCUGUUAGUGACACUGAGGAAUGAAGUGAAGGAGCUGGAUUGCUUGAAGGAAGCUUGAAGUCGGCACUCGGCAGCUCUGAGUUUGGCACUUUGGCAUUUGUUUGCUUGUUGGACUACCAUUUUAUUUUGGUCUAUAAUUUGGCACCAUUAUGAACUCCCAUUCGCAGUUUCUGACUUUCUGCAUUUGGUUAAUUUGAACUUUAACAAAUGCUUUGUAUUAGUGUAAUUUGAAUCUAUUCAGACCUUGGUAUUAGUAGUUCUGUAGUUGGUAUUACUUGGUAUGUAUGUUUGAAUUGUUUCAGUUGUUGGGAAUUUGGUCUGCUGAAAGUAGAAGUUUCAGUUUCAGGUUUUAG
rnacentral:lncRNA from 1 species